UGCUUUACUUGUUCGAAUUCCGAUUUUAUUUUGUCUUAUCUUUCUUAAUUCUUAGCGUUAAUUUUUGCUGGUUUCUUUUUGUUUUCAUUAUAUUGAAUUUUCAGUUUGCAACAUUGGGAUAUGAUGAUGAAAUCUUUGGAUUUGACAUCCACUCUUACUGUGAAUUUAUUCAUACUUGGUGAUUCAACCAUCGACCAACUGAUCCCAAAUUGCUUUACAUCGGUACAAUGGGAUAUGAGGAUAAAAUAUUCAAAUGUGACAUCCAGUCUUACUGUGAAUUUUAUUCAUACUUGGUGAAACAUCGACCAUCUGAUCCCAUUUACCAAAUUUAAUUUUUUUAUUAUCAUUUAUCAUCUCAUUUUAUUUGGAUGUUGGAUUUGAUGGUAUGUGUCAUAUAGCAUAUGUUUUAUGAAUGAUGAUUUAAUUUUAAACAUAGUCUGUUGGCUUGAAAUGCAUGCAUUUGUGAUGAUGUUUAUCAACGUUUCUCUUUUAGAAUAAGGCAGGUGUUUUCCUUUAUUUAAAUUUUUUAAAGGAAGUAAAGAAAAAAGGAAUGAUGAUUGAUAUAUUACUUUCCUCAAUUCAACUAUGUUUUAGUAUUAAUUAAUAUCUAAGGAAUGAUGAAUGAUAUAUUUUUCGUAAUGAUUGCUGGUAAUUUUGUGUGGAGAUUUUUUUAAUAAUGUUUUCUCUGCACCUCCCAUGACCUGCUACAUCCUUUUUUAUCUUGAUUUUGGAAGUUUAGCUCAUUUUAACAAUUGUGUUUGUAGUUUGAUACCUUCUUUUAGGAAUUAAUAUUGAAUUAUGGAACACUCAUUUGAUAUAACUUUAUUAUAAAUUGGUGAAAAAGAGGAUGUGAUGAUAGUAAUUGUCGCCCCAGUCUUAAUUUGCACUAUAAUAAUAGUGUAACCUGGUGACUGACUUCUUAUCUGAUCCUCUUAUUAUAUCUUCCAUAUAUCUUAGCGUUAAUUUUUUUAUACUGAAAAUCAAAUUAAUUUUUGUUGAUUUGCUUUUGUUUUUAUUAUAUUUCAAUUUGCAGCAUCGAUACAGUGGGAUAUGAGGAUAAAAUAUUUAAAUGUGACAUCCAGUCUUACUGUGUAAUUCAUUCAUACUUGGUGAAACAUCGACCAUCUGAUCCCAUUUUCUAGAUUUUAAUUUUUUAUUAUCUUUUUCGGGUUGAUGUUUUGAUUUGAAUGUUGGAUUUGAUGGUAUGGGUCAUAUACGAUAUGUUUUUUGAUAGAUGGUUUAAUUUUAGACAUAGUCUGUUGGCUUGAAGUUCAAGUAGAUAUGAUAAUGUUUAUCCAACGGUUCUGUUAUAGAAGAUGGGGUUUCCUUUAUUUAUUUUGUGGAGAUUUUUUUCAAUAAAAGUUUCUCCGCACCUCCCAUGACCUACUACAUGGUUUCCUUCUUUAUCUUGAUUUUGGAAGUUCAGCUCGUUUACAAAUUAGUUGGAUUUAAGUUUCUAAUGUGAUACCUUCUUUUUGGAAUUAUUUGGAUAAAUAUAAAGUAGUUCGAUUAUACCUUCUAUUUCUAUUAUAUUUAAUAUAUGUGUUACUCCUUUACUCACCUACCAUGCACAAGCACAAGGGCUUGACUAUGUUUUCCGAUUCCACAUUUUGUGUCGGCUCGAACCAGAUUCAGUCGGAUUCUUUCCAUCACCGAUUUUGGUGCUAAAUGCGGUGGUUUUCAUUAUGACACACAAGUAAUUCUCUCCCUUCUUUUUCUUUUUUGUAUUUUUAUUUGAGUUUGUUUGAUUUGAUAUUGUUGGUGAAAUUUUUCAAUUGAUCAAAGAGUCCUCCUUUUUUAAAGUUGAGCAUAAUAGUUUUGAGAUUCAUAGCUUACAAAAUGUUAAGGACAUUUCAUUACUUUGUUACCCUUAAGAAAGAGAAGUUGAUGGUUGUCAUAAUAGAAAAAGUAAUAACAUUUUAUAAGCUAUAAUUCUUAUUAUUACGUUAUGUUCAAAUUUUUAAAAGAAUCACUUUGAUCAAUUAAAUUAAAAUAUUGAACCAACAACAUCAAAGAAACUCAAAUAAAAGAAAAAAGAAUUGGGAAAUAUUUACAUGUAUGUGGGGGGUUGGGUAACUCAAGUUGUUUGAGCCAAGGGAAAAUGAGUUGGAGGUUCUGGGUUCAAAUAUGUGUGCGUCUUGAAAACCAUCGCCUUUGGCACAACUGUCCAAUUGAAUCUAGUUCGAUUUGACCCAGAACGUGGGAGUCGGAAAACAGAGUCAAGCCUUUGUGGUUGUGCAUGUGCAUGUUAAGUGAGUAACAUCUAUAUUGAUGCUGAUAAUAUUAAUGACUGUGAUAGAUAUUGAAGAAGACAUUGUUGUCUCUGGAACAGAUAGAACCUGACUAUCUGCUCAUGUGGCUGCAAACAAUUUUGUCUAGCUGCCAUUUAUUUAUUGUUUGCUUGAAACACUUUGUUAAAAAUAUGUUUGGGAUGAAGUGUAUACUGAUUUGAUAUUGAUUCAUGUAACCAGCUAUAACAAGCUGUAUUAUUAUCGAAUAUAUCAUGUUAGUUCAUUUUGAAAAACCAGUGCUUGUUCUGAAUAUGAUAUAUGAUAUGCUGCCAUUUUUCAGCCAUAGUUGGAUAACUAUUAAAUUUGUCUGGAUUCAUAGCCUGUUUUAUUUUCUUUUUUGUAUUUUUUGUUCUCUUGUAGGUAGCUAUUGCCUCCAAACAUGUGUCCUCCUCAACCUCUCAUUAACGUAUAUUCUCUUUUCAAAUAAUGCCAAUGGUAUUGUAAACCCCAAGGGAGAAAUGAAAGGUAAUAAUUAAAAUUGAAAUUAUUUGGUCUUUGAAACGUGUGUUGUAGAAAAUAAACAAUGAAAGAGAUAUAGAUACAUAUUUACAGCAUCACAUGCGAUCUUUGUAUUUAUUUAUCUUUCUUUGAUCUCAUCGUCUAAAAUUUCGAACAUUUAGAUGAGACAUGGACAAUUUUUAUAAAAAAAAAUAACCCUACAAACGGGUGGUGCUCUAUAUAUUGUGCUGGUAAGAUUCAUUGUUGGCUGGGCAAUGAUUAAAAAGAGAGAGGUCUUUAGUGGGAAAUACCCAAUUCAAUCGGGAAAUCAGAACCCAACUUCUAUCGGAGUUAGGAUCUUCUCCAUUUAUCAAUGUCCACAGAGAAAUGAAAAGAAAAAGAAAACAACGUUGUUAAGAACUUGAAGGUGUCGCCACACUAUUUUCACCAAAUGGGUUUGGCUUUGGUAUCUCAGGUUCUUAGUCUUCUUUCCCCUCUUCCUCUUUCUCUUACCGCCCCUUCAUAUGAACUGGGUUUUUUCCCACUGUGACAGAGCUUUCAUAAUUUACACUUCAUAUGAGCCCUGCACCUAAGAAAUUGUAUUGGGCAUCAAUAUUUUGAUGUUCAAGCAUCAUUUCAAGAAUCAAGCUUUUUCCUCUCUUUUUUUGGCUUGGUUUUAACAUCUGUGUUUGUUUUCCUAUGGUAUCUGAUAUCCACACAAUUCAAAAUUGUCUAGGCUUUGUAAAAAUGCAUGCAAUGAAGUGGGCGUGGUAUGAAUUUCUUUACAAAGUUGAUCUCUUAACAUUUGAAGAUCUUAUUGAUUUCACCCCCUUUUUGGUUAAUAUUUUCAUUAUCUAAUGCAUGCAAGGAAGUUGGGGUGGUUUGAGUACUGGUUCUCUUUUCUUCCUGAAUCAAGUUGCAUUCAGAAGAUUCAUACUUUGCUGGUUUAGCAGUGUGUCAUGAUACAUGCACAUCCCACUAAUUCUGGUAUGAAGUGAGCAAUAAUUUGAUACUGGUUUAUGUGGCCAGCUAUAUCAAGCAAUAUUAUCAAAUAUAUCGAGUUGGAUCUCUUGUGGAAUCUUUCUUUUCGCAAUUUCAUACAUUACAUUUUUAAUAUUAGUUGAUAUUUAAGCCAUUGUAGUCGAAAGCGGCGCUAUAGUGGCCGCGCGGUGCGGUGUGUUGCCGGAGCGCUACACAAUUAGCCAUAGCGUUGCGGUGUGAGAUAGCGGUGCAAUGCUACGUAGCGGUUUGGAACCACUAUUACAUUUUAAGAGAAAAUACAAAAUUGUCCUUGGUUUAAAAAAAAACAAGGGUAUUUUUUACAUUUUCAUCAAAUCCUAAAAAGUUUAGCUUCUCUCUUCCUUCUUUCAUUCUUACGCAAAACGGCGUUUAUCUGCAAAAUGCAAAAUGCAUCUUCUGCAUCUUCUCUCUGCUGUUCUGCUGUAACUUCCUCUCCUGUUAUUUUUUUUUUUGUUUAACAAUCUCAUACUCUGUUGUCCUAUUACUUUUUUGUUCUAGUUUUCUUUGUUAUUAUUGAUUCCAAACCCCAUUCUGGUCUCUCUGUUUCUGUUUGUAGUUUGUACAAACAAUCCUCUGUUUUGUUUAUAUAAAACUCUAUUCUGCUCUCUAUGAAAUAGCGGUCAUUGCCCUGUGUUAUCCCGCUAUAGCAUUUUUGGGGUCGGCCGCUACGCUCCGCUAUCCGCUAUUAACUACUAUGAUUUAAGCGAUUGUUUGCAAAAUAUUUUUUUCACAAUGAUUGCUGGUAAUGUGGUGUGAUGAUUUUAGUUGUUUAAAGAUAUCUCUGCACCUCUCAUGACCAGCGAUAUUAGUGCGUCCAAUCUUACCCCUACCCCGAUGAUUUCUCAUAAUUAUCAUAUCAUCCCUGUCUAAUUCAACGAUGAGUUUGAUAAAUAUAAUAUUGUUUGAAAACUGUUUUUGUUUUUGCAUUUUUUAUUUUUGUAUGUUUUUUGUUCUCUGCUAGAUAGUUAUUGCCUCCAGACAUUAGUCAUGUGUCCUCCCCAUACAAUGGUUUGAUACAGUUACAUGUCUGGAAAACUAAUGAGUCCAUCGUUACAGAAGUGACAGUUUUCUUGGUGCUCACUUCUGCUCCAUUUGGACUCCACAUCUAUGUCCUGAAUUAUGUCAGCUUGUCAUUACAAGUUCAGACAUUUUGCGGUGCAAGUUAAAAUUUGUUUUAUAUUGUCUCCAGACGUAAGUCAGGUAUCUUUUUCAACAGACUAUGGUUGAUACCGUUACAUGUCUGGAAAAUUAACUGAGUCCAUCGUUACAGGUGUGAUGAUUUUAGUGCUCACAUCUGCUCCAUUGGAACUCCACAUUCACAGUUCACUUUUAAAUAACAUCAUUGUAUACUAGGAUUAUGUUGAAUUUGUUGUUUCUAUGUCAAUUAAAAUGUUUGUGCUAUCUGACAGAUGUUUCAAAAUUUAAAGAAAUUUAUAACGCAACUUAAUUAAAUUUUAUAAAUUCAAUUUACACUAUGUGCGAAUUUCAAUUAUAUUUGUCUGAAAUACAACUCUUGUUGUUUGUAACAAUGGUUUUGAUAUGAUCUAACAGUUUGGCCUUAUUUUCAUACUUGUAAUUUGGAAAAUAUUUUGAAAUUGAAACUACUGGUUGUCCCUACGUUUUUAGUAUUUGAAAUACUUGGCUAUAUACUUGUUUCUCUCUUUGCCGAUGGUGCCACUGUUCAUUUUUUAUUAACAAGCAGAUGGUGUGCUAGUGUUAUUAUAACCUCAAGGGAGAAAUGACAGGUACUAAUUGAAGUUUUAAUUCUCUUUUGUAGAUGUGCUGAUCUGAAGUCUAAACUAAUGUAUCUUAAAAGUAAAAUAAUUGAGACUGGAAGGAGUAAAUAACUAUUCUUAUGAUAUUGUUACUCCAAAAGAUAAUGCAUAAACUUACAAACAUUGAAAUUUAAAGAUAUAUAUAUCUAUAAAGCGAUUUUGUGCUUGCUCCAUUUAUCUUUCCUCCUUUUAUUGUACAUUUAUGAGAGAGACAGACACAAGUGAAAGAUUAGUAUCUUUCCCCUGUAUAUCUCUCAUAAUUGACCAAUAAAUGGAGGGUAGACAAAUGUGGCAAACUCGGACUUUCCUAUAACAUAAAUACAUUUUAAAGUUAGGAUAAACAGUUUUACUUAAAACAUGUAGUAUAUCGCUAACAUUUUGGGUUAGUAUCCAAUUACCCAUAUGAUGACAUUUUGUGGUAUACUGUCUGUGUAUGCAGCAAACCUGUUUAUUCAAACUCUAAUAUAUAUUUUUGAGAGAAAUGCAACGGACAUAUUGUUUGAAUGUAUUUUGUAGGUAUAUAGUUAUUUUUCUAAUUUCAGUGUUUUAGUUACUGCAUAACUUUUUGAUUAAGCAAUAAUCAUGGUAAUUACUGUAUAAGGUUUAGCAUGAUAACAUCGAUGGUCAUUUGUGUUGUUUGACCGUGAUGUAUAUUCCAACAUCUAAGUGCCUGUUUGGAUGGGCGGCUGCAAGUCACGUUUUGCUAGAAAUCACGGCAAAAUCCACUUUAAUGUAGAAGCUACAAUUCUCAGCUUCUUAAAAUCACGGCAGAUUUACAUCAGUGUGCUGAUGUGCUUUUACUUCAUCAAACGCCACUCCAAACAUACAUCAAGUAUAACAAUCUGUUUGAAAUCGGGGUUUACAAAUCUUAAUAUCUUAUUUUUCAAAUGCUAUUGAUGUUCAUAUACUUCCACCGAUUGAUGAUAGCCGUACUGCAUUCAAGAUAGUCUCAUCCAUCCACUAGCAAAAUGUUGAAGGUGUCAACCUUCCCAUUAAGUUGUUGAAAAUGUGUUAAAAGAUUGAAGGAUCUAGAUAAGCAUACAUCUGAGGAUGUUGUGUUACUUGAGAUUCUUAAUUUAAAUGUUUUCAUGUAUUAUGUUAUUGUGUAUUUUAGAAUCUGUCUCCUUAGGACGAAGUUGUUUUUUUUUCUGGUUACUUAGGAUGAGGUUGUUUGGUCUACUUUAAUAAUACUAUUUUUAAAUAUUCUAGUUCUAAUACCAAUUUCCUUUUUUUUUUGGUGAUGCUGCAUUUUCUUUAUUUAUUUUUUAUCAGAACAAGUACUGUUGUGCUAUUAUGUGCAACUCAUGUUGGGGUAUGUAGUGCGUUUACUUUAUGGAGAAGUUAAUUUGACUUGAUGCAUUCUGCAUUAAUUUUUAAUUUUAAUUAUGCAGCCUUAUGGAGUAUACGUGUUAACAUUAAAAUAACUUUUGAUAAUAAUUUAGGAGAUAUUUGCUAAAAAAGGACAUUUAUUCUGUCAAUACACACUGGUUGCAAAAGCAAUAAACACACUUUGAAAUUUUUCUUGCUGUCGAUACCGAAAUACAUUUGUGCGGCUUAUUCAAGUUUAUUGCUGCUGCGCUCAACUGAGUUAUACUGCAGUGCUUUUUAUUCUUCAGUUAUUACUUCAGCAAAACCUUGUUCAAUCCAUGCAUCUGGUGGCAACCAUGCCUUGAAAUUGUUAGCAGGUUAGAUAUAUCACCUUUAUGAAUGUUGGUUUCAUUUCUGUUGGUAUUGUUGUGUUUAAAUUUGUCCCAGUUGUUUGCUUUUGUGUAGUUUUUAACACAGUUAAUAACUGAUAAAUACCAACAUGCUAAAACUUUGUGAUUGCAAAUAUUAUUGCUAAAACUUUAUUUUCAUCAUCAAUCCAAUCAAUAAACACUUCUGUGUAAAACUCAGUGGCCAAACCAAAUUUAUGUUGCCCAAUGCCCAUCAUGUGCAAUUUUUGAAACAAUGAUCUACUACCUUUUCAAUAUUGUUAUAGAAUCUUUGGCAUAGGAUUUUGCAAUUUAGUUAAGUUCUAGGAUGGAACGAUGUUGUUAAGGAUACACCAUAUCAGGUUCUUUUGCCUAGGUGGAACAUUUACUUUCGAAACUUUUUUUCAGUUCAUUCUUUAUGACAUAACCCAUAAGACAUUUGUCCUCAAAUAUUUGUGCUAGGACAUUAAAUCCGUUGAGAUAGGUGAUUAAAUUGUCUUUCCAUUAAUUGAAUUGUCAUUAAUAGAAGCCUUCAUACAUCUGGCCAUUAGGGAUUCAGGUUGAGGAUAACUCUGUAGCCUUGUUUAUCCCUAUGUUCUGAAACCAGCACUCCUUUAGCAGAACACGCUAAAUUCUGCUGCACAUAGCAGGACUAGAGAACAGUUCAGCAAGAAAGGCUUAGAUGGUAAUGUCCAAAACAUGGUUUUAUCAUCUGCAAACACUCACAACAAUUUGAUGCACUUGGAUUGUUAGUAGCGAUGGAGUGGAUGAGAAAUCUAGCUUUUGACAAAGUUGUCUUUGGUUUGGACUGUUAAAACUUAGUUCAGCUGUGCGUGAUGACACAUAAUUUGACGUUGUCUUAGCUUGUUGUAGAGCUAUUUUAUCUGGUUUUUGUAACAACUUUUAUGUCAAGUUUUUUAGGAGAGGUCAAUAUGCUUGCGCAAAAUCUUGCAAAUGAGGCUAUAAUGUUAGUUCUCAACUUUGUUU